UACGUAGGGUGCAGGCGUUAAUCGGAAUUACUGGGCGUAAAGCGUGCGUAGGCGGUCGGCAAAGUCAGCUGUGAAAGCCCCGGGCUUAACCUGGGAAUGGCGGUUGAAACUAGUCGACUCGAAUCUGGCAGAGGGGGGUGGAAUUCCACGUGUAGCAGUGAAAUGCGUAGAGAUGUGGAGGAACACCGAUGGCGAAGGCAGCCCCCUGGGCUGAGAUUGACGCUCAGGCACGAAAGCGUGGGGAGCAAACAGG
rnacentral:rRNA from 1 species